GCUGGUAUGGCGCAAUGGUAACGCAACUGAUUUGUAAUCAGUAGAUUGUAGGUUCGAGUCCUAUUACCAGCUCCA
rnacentral:tRNA from 1 species